GAUGAACGCUGGCGGCGUGCCUAAUACAUGCAAGUCGAGCGAACAGACGCUGAGCUUGCUCCUCUGUCGUUAGCGGCGGACGUGUGAGUAACACGUGGAUCCCCUCCCUAUCAGACUGGUAUCACUUCGGGAAACCGGCGCUUAUCCCGUAUAAUCUCUUGAACCGCAUUGUUCAAUAGUGAAAGACGGUUUUUCUGUCACUUCUCGCUGCAUCCGCGCCGCAUUAGCUAGUUGUUAAGGUAACGGCUUACCAAGGCAACGAUGCGUAACCGACCUGAGAGGGGGAUCGGACACAAUGGAAGGGAGACACGGUCAAGAGGCCUAAGGGAGGCAGCAGUAGGGAAUGUGACGCAAUGGGCGAAAGCAUGACGGAGCAACGCGGAGUGAGUGAUGAAGGUGUUCGGAGCGGAAAAAUGGGUUAUUAGGGAAGAACAAAUGUGGAAGUAACUAUGCACGGAUUGACGGUAACUAAUCAGAAAGCAACGGCUAACUACGUG
rnacentral:rRNA from 1 species